rnacentral:rRNA from 1 species
UACAGAGGUCCCAAGCGUUGUUCGGAUUCAUUGGGCGUAAAGGGUGCGUAGGUGGCGUCGUAAGUCGGGUGUGAAAUCUCGGGGCUUAACUCCGAAACUGCAUUCGAUACUGCGGUGCUUGAGGACUGGAGAGGAGACUGGAAUUUACGGUGUAGCAGUGAAAUGCGUAGAGAUCGUAAGGAAGACCAGUGGCGAAGGCGGGUCUCUGGAUAGUUCCUGACACUGAGGCACGAAGGCCAGGGGAGCAAACGGG